CUACAUCUUCAUGUUGGUCUUCAUUCUUCAUGUUGGUCUACAUCUUCAUUGAAGACCAACAUGAAGAUGUAGACCAAUUUGAAGAUGUAGACCAACAUGAAGAUGUAGACCAACAUGAUGAAGAUGU
rnacentral:pre_miRNA from 1 species